rnacentral:tRNA from 1 species
CUCCCCGUGGUCAAGCGGCGACGACGUCUCCCUGUAGAGGAGGAGACGCACGUUCGAAUUCCGGAAGA